AGGGUUUGAUUCUGGCUCAGGACGAACGCUGGCGGCGUGCUUAACACAUGCAAGUCGAGCGAUGAAGCUUCUUCGGAAGUGGAUUAGCGGCGGACGGGUGAGUAACACGUGGGUAACCUGCCUUAUAGUGGGGAAUAGCCUUUCGAAAGGAAGAUUAAUACCCCAUAAGAUUGUAGUUUCGCAUGAAACAGCAAUUAAAGGAGCAAUUCGCUAUAAGAUGGACCCGCGGCGCAUUAGCUAGUUGGUGAGGUAACGGCUCACCAAGGCGACGAUGCGUAGCCGACCUGAGAGGGUGAUCGGCCACAUUGGGACUGAGACACGGCCCAG
rnacentral:rRNA from 1 species